UAGGGAAUCUUCGGCAAUGGACGAAAGUCUGACCGAGCAACGCCGCGUGAGUGAAGAAGGUUUUCGGAUCGUAAAACUCUGUUGUUAGAGAAGAACAAGGACGUUAGUAACUGAACGUCCCCUGACGGUAUCUAACCAGAAAGCCACGGCUAACUACGUGCCAGCAGCCGCGGUAAUACGUAGGUGGCAAGCGUUGUCCGGAUUUAUUGGGCGUAAAGCGAGCGCAGGCGGUUUCUUAAGUCUGAUGUGAAAGCCCCCGGCUCAACCGGGGAGGGUCAUUGGAAACUGGGAGACUUGAGUGCAGAAGAGGAGAGUGGAAUUCCAUGUGUAGCGGUGAAAUGCGUAGAUAUAUGGAGGAAAACCAGUGGCGAAGGCGGCUCUAUGGUCUGUAACUGACGCUGAGGCUCGAAAGCGUGGGGAGCAAACAGG
rnacentral:rRNA from 1 species